UACAAUGACUCUCGGCAACGGAUAUCUCGGCUCUUGCAUCGAUGAAAAACGUAGCGAAAUGCGAUACUUGGUGUGAAUUGCAGAAUCCCGUGAACCAUCGAGUCUUUGAACGCAAGUUGCGCCCGAAGCCAUUAGGCCGAGGGCACGUCUGCCUGGGUGUCACA
rnacentral:rRNA from 1 species